rnacentral:tRNA from 1 species
AAGAGUUUAAUUAAAUUAAUAAUAUAGAAGUGUCAAUUCUAAUUUAUCCUAGGAUAGUUCUUU